UGCUGGCGCGUCUGACCCGCCGCCUGUCGCUGCAGGGCGAGCCGGCGCUGAUGGAGGGAAUCUUGCUGGGUGAACCCGUAAGUUGGCCCUCUCCAUCUCUUCCCCUCGCCGUUCCUCUGCCUUCUGCUUUGCCAAGCAGGCCCUAACGCUGCUCUCCCUCCCUGGCAGGGCUCCAAGGGUGACCGGGGCUUGCCUGGCCCCAAGGGAGAGAAGGGGGAGCCUGGAAGAUUUGGGGAGCCUGGAGAUCCCGGGGAAGACGGAGCCAAAGGAUCGUCCGGAGCCAAGGGGGAAAAGGGCUCUCCUGGUGUCGGCGUGCGGGGACCUCCAGGACAGGACGGACCUCCUGGCUUGAAGGGUGACACUGGCUUGCCAGGCCCACCAGGACCCCCGGGCUUGGCAGGUGUCGCAGGGACCCCG
rnacentral:lncRNA from 1 species